UACGAAGGGGGCUAGCGUUGCUCGGAAUCACUGGGCGUAAAGCGCAUGUAGGCGGAUUGUUAAGUCAGGGGGUGAAAUCCUGGAGCUCAACUCCAGAACUGCCUUUGAUACUGGCGAUCUCGAGUCCGGGAGAGGUGAGUGGAACUGCGAGUGUAGAGGUGAAAAUGCGUAGAUAUUGGGAGGAACACCAGUGGCGAAGGCGGCUCACUGGACCGGUACUGACGCUGAUGCGCGAAAGCGUGGGGAGCAAACGGG
rnacentral:rRNA from 1 species